AGAGUGUGAAGCAGCUAGACUGCCGCAACCAAAUCAAGAGAGUGAAUUCUCAUUUCAAUCCGAAAAACUGGGAGAGAGUGAUGACAUGCGAGAGAGAAUAAAACUAGAAACACGAGAGAGGGCCACACGAAGCGCUUUCGGGUUUUUUCGCCUUUGCACACAUUUUGCUUUAUCCCAAGUAGCAGAGCCGAAGUUGUUGAGAGAUUUUGCUGUGUGCCAAAGCCAGAGGCCCUCCCUACUAGCAAUGAGAAUGUAAAAGUGUGCGACUUUCAGGCGAGGGGCAUGUAGAAGCAGGGGAAGACGGUUGGAAAUACGCGGAAUUACGCGGCGGCGAGAGCGUGUUUUGCUUUCUACACAGUUUUUGCACUCACACAAUCACACAUGUGUGAAUGUGUGCGUUCACUUUCAGCCAGCGCGCUCAGUUUGGUUUUCUCGCAGCGGCUUGCUGGUGUCGGUGUCUCGCUCGCACUAGUGCAGCGAGUGUUCCUCGUGCGUUCCCUUUCUUGCUACCACACAAAAUCGUCAGUACAGUUCAAGCCUUCGCAGUGUGAGGCCGCGCGCGUUUUAGCCUAAGUCCCGGGCGCUCGAUGUAAUUUGAAGUGAAGUGUUGAAGUGUUAUUUAUUUCAAUUCACAUUAUUACGGCCUCGGUCGUAUUUUCAAGUGUUGAAGUGUUGUGCGCAUUGAAAUAAAGCAGCGUUAAUCUUUCAUAAUUCAACAUGAAUAUGUAAAUUAUGCUGCUUUAUUUCAAUGCUUUUUUUUACAGUAUUCAACAUACACAACAUACAGGCAGUAAGGCGGGUGCUUGAAGUGACGAUUUUUUUUAAAUAUUUAUAAUAAAAAAUAUGUGUGGUUUUGUGGCAAGAUUGUGGUUAGCGAUGUGUGGAACUGUGCCUUAAGUUUCAAUAAAGUGUUAAAAUAUCAAACGAGUUUGAUGUAAUUAAAUUUAUUUCGAUGCAUGCGAUUUUAUUACGCAGCAAAUCUAAGUGAACGAAAGCGCACAGCGCACAACGCGCAACGAAAGAAACGAGGGGGAGGGGGUGUUCAGCGCAGCGCGCAAGUGCGGCAACAGCGCAGCGCAAACCGAAAGAAACGCGAGAGAGCAAGAACAGCUGAUCCGCGCAUCCAGCGCAACGCGAGAGGAAAAAAACGGGAGGGAGGGGGUAUCAGCUGAUCAGCUGUUUUGUAUCGCGAGAGCGCCCCAUGUAAUUUGAAGGCAAACGAGAGAGCGCUGCGCGCGCUUACUCUCAAUUCGGAAAAAAAUCGCUUCCGCUCGACUAUGGCGGACAAUACAACUUCGACCGAACCCCUUCCCCCUGUUUCUACAUGCCCCUCGCCUGUAAAUUUCGCUCUCUUUGUCUGUCGGGCUGUCUUCUCUCUCUAGAUUUUGGACGGCAAACCGCCGCGCGUGUAGAGCUGUGUGCGUGUGACGAAAAAUUAUGGAUGAAAUGCGGGGGAAGCGGGGUUUGAAGUAUUUCGUUCGUCACACACACAUGCAUUUACCAGCGGAUAUCGCUGGACCGAGUCCACCCAUCUCUCUCGAUCCACCAUGAUUUUUCUGCUAUCGCGCUCAUCCGGGUGUUAGGCAUCCUCAGUCUGUCCAGAACUUUCCCUGUGGAAGGAUGUACUGAAGUGAGGUGCGAUUUCUUGUGCGACGUACUUUGCUCAUUUACGUUUUGUGCCGUGUUCCUUCUUCCUCAGUUAUGGAAUGAUUUAUCCUAGCAAAUUGUUGAGGUAAGUUUCUUGCUGUGCGCUUGUGCAGGUACAUUCAACUAACCCUUGGCGUCUAAAAAGUUACAGAUGUGUGCGCUAUUUAUCAACGACUACCUGCUAGCGUCGUCAACAAUCUUCAAAGUGAGCGACGGAAAGAAAACGUUUUCCAGUUUUAAAAUAUUAAGCCCCCGGUGAGGACGUCAUUACUUAACAGAAGCCGGUUCAACACGCGCAGCUCCUGUUCAUGACGUCAUCACGAAACUGAAGCCAGCUGAACACGCGCAGCACGGAUGGUACCCCGAGCGCAGUAGAAGGAAGGAAGAACGAGAGGAGGAAUAACGGUAAAUUUGGAAGGGGGAAAGCGUUCUGCCGUCUACACAGCGGGAGUAUGCCAAAACACAUGUGGGAAGGGAGAGGGAUAUUAUUCAAUAAACAGCAUGCGAAUGUGUGCAUAAAGCAAA